rnacentral:rRNA from 1 species
GACGAACGCUGGCGGCGUGCCUAAUACAUGCAAGUCGAACGCUGAAGGAGGAGCUUGCUUCUCUGGAUGAGUUGCGAACGGGUGAGUAACGCGUAGGUAACCUGCCUGGUAGCGGGGGAUAACUAUUGGAAACGAUAGCUAAUACCGCAUAAUAGUAGAUGUCGCAUGACAUUUGCUUAAAAGGUGCAAUUGCAUCACUACCAGAUGGACCUGCGUUGUAUUAGCUAGUUGGUGAGGUAACGGCUCACCAAGGCAACGAUACAGAGCCGACCUGAGAGGGUGAUCGGCCACACUGGGACUGAGACACGGCCCAGACUCCUACGGGAGGCAGCAGUAGGGAAUCUUCGGCAAUGGACAGAAGUCUGACCGAGCAACGCCGCGUGAGUGAAGAAGGUUUUCGGAUCGUAAAGCUCUGUUGUAAGAGAAGAACGAGUGUGAGAGUGGAAAGUUCACACUGUGACGGUAUCUUACCAGAAAGGGACGGCUAACUACGUG